GUCUCCUUAGCUCAAUUGGGAGAGCGCCAGACUGAAGUCGAGAAUUCGGUCGUUUUGUGAUUAAUCUGGAGGUAUCGUGUUCGAUCCACGAAGGGGACA
rfam:Setosphaeria turcica Et28A unplaced genomic scaffold SETTTscaffold_4, whole genome shotgun sequence.